AUUCUUAUAGUUUAGUUAAAAUAUUACACUGAAAAUGUAAAGAAAAAGGUUUUUUUUGAGAAUA
rnacentral:tRNA from 1 species